UGCAUGCAUGGUUGUGUUCACACAG
rnacentral:piRNA from 1 species